CCGCCGAUUCAGUCCUUCCGAUUUCCCAGACCGCAGACGGCUGCUGGGCGAAUCCAUACUGCAAUCAGUAGGCGUGUACAUCCGCUUCAUUUCCCGUUUAAAAUAGUUAGCUGACAGACCGCUCGAGCAAUAGGAACAGACGACAGGGGAAGAAGUUUUGUGCUGCGCUUAUGUAACAAGAUCAAGUUUCAUUCAUGAAUACCGAGGUGCUGGUGCUCUAUUUUGCCAAAAGUGCAGAAUUGGCAGGACUCAAAUCGGAGAUCAUUAGUGUCCCUCAAGAAUUAACGUCCCAAGAACUGUGGCAGGAACUGGAAAACCGACAUCCUAGACUGUCUGCGAUUCGUGAGCAAGUGGUGAUUGCAGUGCGUCAACAAUACGUGGUCCUGGGUAAUCAGCACGUGAGUCUGCGGCAAGGUGACGAGGUCGCUGUCAUUCCUCCGCUCAGCGGUGGCUAAGCCUCGAUCUCAGUUAUGAAUGACCAUGACCGAGGUCCACAGGACCUUAUCAAGCUUACCCAUGACAAGCUCUCAGCUGGUGCUGUAUCUGAAGAUGUGUUGUGUGCUUCUUGUGGAGCUGUCUCCAUGUUCAUUGGUGGGUCUUGAAGCUAGCUUCAAAUAAUACCGCAUGUUUGUCAAUGGAGGUGCUGGUAAUAUUUCUCAUUUAAUAUCAGGCACCACUAGGAACAAUUUUGAAGGAAAGAAGGUUGUUCAACUUGAAUAUGAAGCUUACAUUCCAAUGGCAGAGUCACAACUGAAGAAAAUAUUCAGUGAGAUAAGGGAACGAUGGUCAACCGUUAGACACAUCUGUGUUCAUCACAGACUGGGUGUUGUCCCGGUAACAGAAGCCAGUGUCAUCAUCGCCAUCUCCUCCCCGCACAGGAGUGAGUCUCUGGAUGCAGUUGCGUAUUGCAUCAAUGCACUGAAAGCAAGUGUGCCCAUCUGGAAAAAAAAAUGUCAAAGGAAACUCUUCUGUUCUUGUUGCUGACCAAAAACGGGGUGGAGCUGCAAUACAAUAACUUCAUCGGGGCUCCAACCACCACGUCGUUGAAGCCAUCGAGGUUGAGGUCGGGCGCCUCGGCGAUGGCCAUGCCAAAACGAGCAUUCUCCGAGGAGAACGGCCCAUCCAGAAAGCCCUGAUCACUGAGAACGCCCUGAAACAGACAGAGGAACCGGGUUCAGAUAACGCCAAGAGACGUGCCUAUCCCACCAACGUCCGAAAUGUUUUCCGCUGAUUCUUCAGCUCCUAAAUUCCACACAGUGACACACGUUCGGCACGGUGAGUGUGCUUCACCUUUGUGACGGAGAAGACGUGCACCUUUCCCUUUUCCUUUUUGAAUUCGCUCAUGAACAUUGGAGCCCCGACCAACAGCACAUCGGCCACACUGUCUUUAUCCACAUCCAGGGGGCACAAGACGCUGCCGAAAUAGGAGCCAAUCUAGGAUCGCAAGCAAAGAGCGACAAAAGACAGACCUAUUGCAUGACUCAGAAAAUCAUGUUAGCCUAAUGUAAAUGCAACUGCAUAUUUUAAGUGUUUGUUACCAUGUUUACAGAAAAAAACCUACCUGCUCUCCUCUUUCUGAAUCGAUGACUGUUGGCUGCCCUUGGGCAUCGAUAGUGUAGACUAUGACUUGACCUGUGUGAUUGGAACGAGGUGCACCAGCAACGUAGUAUUCUGUGUUUCCAUCAGACAGUGUUGUCACAGAGUAGCCUGCACAAAUACAGGAAGCAUACCGUUGUGAUCUGCCCAGGGUAUUUCUGGCAGUACCACAUCCUGUUUCCUCAACAGUGGCAGGUACUACAUAUAAAAGCAUAUUUACUAAGAGGAUAGAAUGCAGUCCAAGCUUGUUUUUCAGCAGUCUGUAAUGCAACAUUGGGGAAAUGCUUACUGAUAUAAAACAAAAAUGAUGAGAAAAAAACACCACCAAGUUCUGAAAACAAGACAAAACUGCGUAUUUGACCCAGUAUUGAACUGAUAUUAAAUAACAGCCCAAUGGUAUUACCCAAUAAAGAACUGUGGUUUCGGUCUUCCAA